CUGUUUUCCUCCCCGGGUCCAAAGACAUGCGUUGAAGGCUGACUGGCAUUUCCAAAAAUUGUCCGUAGUGCGUGAACAUGCCCUGUGAUGGGUUGGCAAACCGUCCCCUGCUUUGUGCCUCGAGUUCCCUGGGAUAGUAAAGGUGGGAGGAAACCAGAGAACUUGGAAGAAACCCAUGUGGACAUGGGCAGAACAUGCGAAACUCACCUGAGCACAGAAUCGGAGUUGUGAGGUUGCACCGAGACAUUUAUGGAAGGAGUCUGGGUUGUAAGCACCUUGUGAAGUUUAUCAGCACAGGAAAGUCUUCCAUAAAGGGGAGUUUAUGCUUUCUAGUUUCAGGUAAGUGUUCAAAGAUCACAAGUUUGAAUCAUGCAUCUGUGUCUAGGACAACAAAAUUGGCCCAGCUGUAUGGAUGGUAGGUCUGGCAUUCUUCUCUGCUCUGUCAAUCAAAACAACACUAACCAAUAUUGGGCAUCUGUGAGGUGUGUAUGCAGAAGAGCAGAUAGCACUGGCUUCAUGUGUUGUAUAGAAGCCUGGUAUGUAGCUGAGGUGUAACAGGGGAGGACUAGUUAAUGGUGUAAAUUGGAAAUUGAUCAAAUUGGCUAAAAGAAAGAUAUAAUUUUAAAAAUGACUUAUAAUUGUUUUGAGAGCAGAUGUCUUAUUAACAUAUUUCCUUUAGGAAAUGCUCCAGUAGUUACACAAGUGGCACAUGGUACGGUAUUGAACAAACAAGACAUAUUUGGUCCUGAAUAUCUUUGAGCUCCAGACAGGAAGGUAACUGAAAAAACCCGUAAACCCGAGUAAUUGGCACAAUAUUCAAUUUCAAUUUCACCUACAGUACUUUAAAUGAUUUAUUAUACAUUUCAAUGACAUAUCAUAGGCUUUAAACCACAAUUCAAAUUGAGUUUGCUUACACAGGUCUCUUAUUAUCAGACACAUUUGAACCAAAGGAACCGAAACAAGCUCUGACAGGCAGGCAUCCAUACUGUCUCAUAGCUUAUGAAUCCAAUUACCCAAGCCAUCAGAGCCUGGCCCAAGGAUCGUAUACAUGGAGGUUUUUUUGGGUGUGGGACCAAACAAAUCGUUUACUCAUCCCUCAAGCUCAGUCACACACAACUACUGCUCACUACACCGAUGAGCCAUAACAUUAAAACCACCUAUGUAAUAUUGUGUAGAUCCCCCUUGUGCCACAAAAACAGCUCUGACUCGUCAAGGUUUGGACUCCACAAGACCUCUAAAGGUGUGCUGUGGUAUCUGACAUCAAGACAGCAGAUCCUUUAAGUCCUGUAAGUUGUGAGGUGGGGCCUCCAUUGAUCGGACUUGUUUGUCCAGCACAUCCUACAGAUGCUUGAACAGACUGCGAUCUGGGGAAUUUGAAGACCAGGUCAACAGUGCCUCCUGGUGCCGUCUCUUCCCCAGAUGACAGGGUCAGCGCACCUCCAAAACAACAGAUCUUGUGGGGUGUUAACAGUAUGCAGUGGUUAGUACCUACCAAAAGUGGUUCAAGGAAGGACAACCGGUGAACUGUCUGGGGGCAAGAUAGCACCAGGAUGCACUAUGGGAAAAGGCAAGCUGGCAGAGGCAGUGUGGUGCUAUGGGCAGUGUUCUGCUUGGAAACCUUUGGUCCUGGCGUUCAUGUGGAUGUUACUUUGACACGUACCACUUACCUAAUCAUUGUUGCACACCAAGUACACCCCUUCAUGGCAACAGUAUUCCCUAAUGGUAGUGGCCUCUUUCACCAGGAUAAUAUGCCCUGCCACACUGCAAAAAUUGGAACAAGGCAAGGAGUUCAAGGUGUUAAGUUGGCCUCCUAAUUCCCCAGAUCUCAAUCCGAUCGGGCAUCUGUGGGAUGUGCUGGACAAACAAGUCCAAUCCAUGGAGGCCCCACCUCACAAUUUAAAGGACUUAAAGGGACUGCUGCUAACAUCUUGGUGCCAGAUACCACAGCACCUUCAGAUGUCUUGUGGAGUCCAUGCCUCAAAAGAUCAGAGCAGUUUUGUUGGCACAAAUGAGACCUACACAAUAUUAGACAGAUGGUUUUAUUGUUACAGCAAAUCGUUGUAGAUUUAGUUCUUAACAGCUCAACUAUUAAUCCUUUAACUGAAAUUAUUGCUUAAUGCUUGUUUAAGGAAAUGCAACACUGUGACACUGCAGUGGAUGCCAAUUAACUGAUAUUUCUAAAUCAUCUUGGAUAGACUAUGGACAGACAAAUUAUAAUUGCAUUUACAAUGUUUGCAGCAUUCCUACCCUGCCUUUCUCCUGGAUCUGUAAUGUGUAUAGUACGUUUGCCAAUUCUUCAAGUGUCAGCUCCUUUACUGAGCUGUGUUAGCAGGUUCCAAGUUUUCUGAUUUUUUUUGGUUUUGACCUUAUCCUCUGUGUUUUGAGUCUAGAUUAUGAUGAUGGAUCUGCCUUGGUUAACCUUGUCUACUUUCAUUUAUGAAUUGUAUUCAAAUAAAAGGAAAACAACAUCCAAUACCCUCUAGCUUUCAUUGUGUCAGGGACGUGCAAUUUUUGGAGUUUUACUGCAUUGAGGUAUCAGAAAAUUUGUCUGCUUCAUCAGAAAUUGUUACCAAAUGCAAAUACCAUGGCAUUUCAUUGAAUGAUCAAGCAAUUAUGGUGUUUUCACUGAAUCACUUGCACAUACCACUAGUGUUUAAGUACUUAACCCCUAUUCUCCACCGUCACAUAUUUUCUCCAUGAUCAAAACACAGUCAUCUACUAUAACACUUCCUUCUUUGAAUCACUACUAUUCAACCGUGAACUCAGGAAAUGUAUUUUAUUGAAGUGAUUUCUCCUGUCAUGUCCUCCAUAUGGUUUACAUAUUCUAGAUAAAUCACUCUGACAACCAAGCAGCAGUCAGAAAAGUGCCUAGGGCAAGACAUGUUGACUCCUGCUGGAAAUAACACUUACAACGCCUCAUCAUGAAAACAGUGGAGCCAGCCAUAUGUUGGAUGCUUAGAAAUAUAAGACAAAUGAUGAAUUAAUGGCCAGCAUCUAUCUCUCAGCUCCUGUGAGAGAAAUAAAUGGACAUUUUGAUGGGAAAACAGAGGUGUGAUGGUAAAAUCACCUGCCAUGGUGGAUUGCUUCUGGGUAGAGAAAAAUGAGAUACCCAAGCUAUAACAUAAUCUGAUUAUCUAUGGUGUGAAUCAUAGGCUUUAUUAGGCACGUAAUGUAAAAGGAAGCCAUCUACUGUUAUCUGUCAAAUAGACUAGGGCAGGGAUCACUGAAUUUUGACUGCAGUUGCAUAAUAUUUUAUAUUUUAACCAGAGGAAAUUGAUUGGUGGAGAAUGGUAUCAUGCCUGGUACUUGUUUGCAUCACCAAUGAUCACUCAGAAAGAGCAUGCAUAAAUUUAUUAAAUAUUUCCUCAAUGACAUCAUCUCUCAGGAAUGCCAUACUUCUUUUGCAGGAGCACAAUCUCAUGAAAACUGUUUAAAGUCAAAGUGGUUUUGGAUUUAAUUUGCUUACAUGUGAAUGGAGUUGUAGCAAAAGAUAUAAAUGUUAACCCCGCCCCAACCCUAAUUUGCUUCUUACAAACUGUUACAAAUCUCUAUGAAAACCGCACAAACCCUGCUUCAUUUAAAAGAUGGAGUUUCAAACUGUAUUGCAAUGAAGUGAUGAAACCAGCUGAUGAAAUAUCAGUGGAAUAAUGUCCUGUAUUUCACUAGAAUACAAUUCAGUCUGCUUUUACUAACUGUAAAUAGUAUUGUUGAUAUUGUUUAUAUUAUUCUUGUUAUAUAAUGUAUAUAUAUUGUAUAUAUAACAGUAUUAAAAAUAUUGCUAUGCUUUUCUAUGCUUUUUAUUAGGCUUACUUGCCUCAAUUGUAUAGAAUACCUUUUUAGUAAAUAUUCACAUAGAUUCCAAAUAUGAACAGUUUAAGAUUGGAAAAAGAUCCAGUGUUGUACAUUUUGAGAUGAUUUUCUGCUCAACAUGGUUGUAAAGAGUGGUUAUUUGAGUCACUGUAGCCUUCCUGUCAGCUCCAAAUGAAGAAGGCCUUUCUACCUGCAGUUCUGUUGCUCACUGGAUGUUUUUUGUUUUCCACACCAUUCUGUGUAAUCUAUAGAAACAGAUCAGCAAUUCCUGAAAUACUCAAACCAUCCUGUCUUGCACAAACAACCAUGCCUCACUCAAAGUCACUGAGAUCACACCUCCCUGUUCUGAUGUUUGAUUACAUCAGGAUUACAUGACAUUAACUGAAGCUCCUGACCUGUAUCUGCAUGAUUUUAUGCAUUGUGCUGCAGCCACACGAUUGGCUGACUGGGUCAUUACAUUCAUGCGCAGGUUUACAGGUAUUCCUCAUGUUUCUAAGUUGAUGGUGAGUGUAUAUCCCAUCUGUAAUGUUGAAAGUUUCAGCAGAAUCUCACUAUGUUGAGCUGUUUAACAAAACGCACUAACAAUUUUGUCAUUCUUUAUUCAUGACAAUGUCUGUAAUAAUUUGAGACCAAUUGAGGACCUUGAUGAAAGAGCUAUUUAGGAUAACUAUCAGUGACGCCUGGUUGUGAUAUUUGAUGAGGGGGCUAAAGUCUAAUAUCUAUCAAUAUCUCAACACUGAUACUAUUAUAUUUAAUGGCAUUUGGCAGACUCCCUUAUCCAGAGCGACUUCCAUUUAUCUAAUUUAUACAACUGAGCAGUUGAGGAUUAAGGGCCUUGCUCUUGGGCCAAGCAGUGACAACUUUGCAGUGCUGAGAUUACAAACUUCUGAUCAGUAGUCCAACGUCUUAACCACUAAGCUACCACUGCCCUAUUAAAUAUUAGCAGGGAACAAUGUAUGCAAUCAUGAUUUUAAAAUGUUUUUUUUUUUUUUUUUUUUUUUUUUUAACAGUGUUUCAAGUCUGUAAUGCUCUGAAUUCAUGGUAUGUUUACUUUGAAUGUGAAACGUGAUAAACAGAAAAAAAAGUUGUAACCUUUUCAUUCAAAUCAAACAACACAAAAUGGCGUUGUCAUCUGUCCUUACAUCUGUCCUUGUGUAAUUUGUACUUUAUUUGGACAGUUUCUGCUUAGUCUGUCUAUGAUUUUCUCCUUAAAAAGUCUUCAUGAGGCUUCUCAAUGACGGCUGAUGAUGUGUUAUGAAUGUGUCAGCAACAUGGGGUGAAAAAUAUCAGAUGCAAUGGAGAGUAAAUCUAGGGGGUAAUCAUCUGACCCAGCUUUGUUUCUUCAUACCAUUCUGUAUAUUUUUAUAUAUACAUUCUAUGUAUUUUAAUAUAUAUUCUGUAUAUUUUUCUUAUGACCAUUGGUGGAUGCUAAAAUGUGUUUUAUCUUUGAAAGAUUUAGCCAUGCUAGCCCAUUUAUACCAGCUGUUCCCUUAUAACUGUGUUUUAAUAAUUUAAUGCUUGUACAUUGGCCUAUUUUUAUUGAUAGUAGGGCUAUUUUUAGGCUGUUUUACCUCCACACAGGAUUGGCCACCAUCGAUCUCAACAGAGGCUAAUGAUUUAAAACACCAGGAACAAUAAAAAGUGAUAUCACAAAUUAGCAAGUUGGUUAACUUUAGUUAAACUCAUCAAUAGUACCGUCACAAGUGACACAGAACCCCACACCCACUACAGUCACAGCCAGGACACAUGAUGUAUCGCUGUCUGCCAGCCAGCUCUCUGUAAACACUGUAGACAUGCAUCUAACAAAUGCCAAAACAUCCCUAGAGUUAAGCCUCCCAGCUUUUUAGUCAACAACUCUCCUGUCUCCCUAUUGGCCCAUUUUAAAUCAUUUAUCAUUAUGCACAGUUCAUCCUGUUAUGUAUUGCAGCUAACUCCCAUUUAUGCAUGGUGUUUGCCAGGGGUGUGAUAUAUAUUUUCUGGUAAGAUAAAUGGAGGCUAUUUACCAUUGUAUUGAUCUAGUGAUUUAGGGUAAUGAAAAUAAAUUGCUCUGUUGGCAGAGGAGGAUUUUCUCAUAGACUCAGUAACUGCUGAAAUUUGCACAUAGAUCUCAUUUGGAUAUGAAAUUUGUAAAGUAGUCUGUUGUAACUUUGAUACAUCCACACUGUGGUCUUUUAUAUUGCCUUGUAAUGACUCAUUUAAUUAUAUAGGUUAAAAUUGUUCUGGGGAAAAUAAUAAAUAUUGGAAGACAAAAUUUGACAACAAUUUGCAAACAGUGAUAUUUACAUCCAGGCAAGAAUUACAGGUCUAUAAAAUGAAUUCUUGUUACACAAGGUUGUUUUGUGAAUAAGCUUUAUGAAUUUAACUGGAUUACGACCUCAUACUUGUAUUACAAAGUUCUGCUGUUAUAUAACAAAAUACUGAGCUUGUCUUUUCCUUUCCAAAUGUAACAUUUUGUUGCAUCCUAGCAGUACAUCUGGCUACAAAAUUUCACACACUCUUUGAAAGGAUCAAGCUUUGAUGGUUGUAAAUGUAUCAUCAUAGCAAAAUAAUUGAGUCACUUUGAAAGCCCCUGAAAAUCUUCACUUUCAAAAGCAAACAUUGAAUAAAGACAUUUCAGUGCAGCAUAGCAUACUGUAUGCGCCAUAUGAGAUAUUCAUGAAGAGAUGAAGAACAAUCACUAUGCAGCAUUUGGCUUGCCAUCUGGAUGUGAAUAAGCAACGAUGAUAUGUACAAUUUAAUGAGUAUGAUGAAGCAAAUGCAACUCAAGUGAAACUAUUCAGUCAGACAAAGAAUAUUAUUGAGGUUGGUAAUUUUAUAAACAGCAGCUUUUUCUUAAACUUGUAUAUUCUCUUGGUCAGGAUGAGAACAUCGGUUGAUGCAAUGCAAAUCUUCUUACAACGUGAUGUAAUGUCUGAAAACAAAUUUUAGUGUCUAUUGUGAAAGGAAUAAAACAUGAUGGGGUGUAUUGUUAUAGGAAGAUAAUCAAGACAGUGUUGUGUUGUGGACUGACAUGAAGCAGAGUAAAUACCACACCAAAGUUUAUUAUUUUCCUUUUCAUUCUUGUCAUACUACAGCAAUUUCCCAACGAUUAAUUAAAAAAAAAUAAAAAAUAAAAUAAUGCCA